rnacentral:rRNA from 1 species
AGUGAACGCUGGCGGUAGGCCUAACACAUGCAAGUCGAACGGCAGCACAGUAAGAGCUUGCUCUUACGGGUGGCGAGUGGCGGACGGGUGAGGAAUACAUCGGAAUCUACUUUUUCGUGGGGGAUAACGUAGGGAAACUUACGCUAAUACCGCAUACGACCUACGGGUGAAAGCAGGGGAUCUUCGGACCUUGCGCGAUUGAAUGAGCCGAUGUCGGAUUAGCUAGUUGGCGGGGUAAAGGCCCACCAAGGCGACGAUCCGUAGCUGGUCUGAGAGGAUGAUCAGCCACACUGGAACUGGGACACGGUCCAGACUCCUACGGGAGGCAGCAGUGGGGAAUAUUGGACAAUGGGCGCAAGCCUGCUCCAGCCAUACCGCGUGGGUGAAGAAGGCCUUCGGGUUGUAAAGCCCUUUUGUUGGGAAAGAAAAGCAGCAGGUUAAUACCCCGCUGUUCUGACGGUACCCAAAGAAUAAGCACCGGCUAACUUCGUG